AACGAUCGCUGGCGGCAGGCUUAACACAUGCAAGUCGAACGCCCCGCAAGGGGAGUGGCAGACGGGUGAGUAACGCGUGGGAACAUACCCUUUUCUACGGAAUAGCUCUGGGAAACUGGAAUUAAUACCGUAUACGCCCUACGGGGGAAAGAUUUAUCGGGGAAGGAUUGGCCCGCGUUGGAUUAGCUAGUUGGUGGGGUAAAGGCCUACCAAGGCGACGAUCCAUGGCUGGUCUGAGAGGAUGAUCAGCCACAUUGGGACUGAGACACGGCCCAAACUCCUACGGGAGGCAGCAGUGGGGAAUAUUGGACAAUGGGCGCAAGCCUGAUCCAGCCAUGCCGCGUGAGUGAUGAAGGCCUUAGGGUUGUAAAGCUCUUUCACCGAUGAAGAUAAUGACGGUAGUCGGAGAAGAAGCCCCGGCUAACUUCGUGCCAGCAGCCGCCGUAA
rnacentral:rRNA from 1 species